rnacentral:lncRNA from 1 species
GAGCCAGCUAGGUGCCCCUGCCUCCUUCUAUCUUUGCCAGUCCCUCCCAUGGGGCUUUCCUUGAGUGUUUGACCAGCUCCCUUAGCCGCAGCUUCCCCGCCAGCUCCCAGGUGGCUCCUAGGCUCCGCCCUUCUGCAGGCCCCGCCCACACCACACCUGCUGGCCAAUCCUGGGCUCCGCUCUGCGCGCAUCACAAUAGCGCCCUUGGGACCGCCUCCUGCAGUCCUGCCAGGGCCGAGUAUUGCCAUGGGGACCACAAACAGCCUGGGCCAGUAGGAGAGAGGAGGACUUUCCCCAGAGGAAGCGGCCUCACCUGGGGAGACACUCACACGUACCCAAGGAGCAGGGCUGAAGCAGAGGAUGAUCCUGGAGAAGUGCGAGCUACAGACUUCUCCCCAGAGCCCAGGCCUGUCUCUGUCUAUUCAUGGAGUUUGUAAGUCAGCGUGAAGGCUCAUUGACUGAGGAUGUGUGACUUUGUUCCCCCUGGACGCUGAGGGCAAUGCAGUACCAAUGCACAAUGCAACGACAUACAAGUCUCUAUGGAUUCUUGAAACACAG